rnacentral:rRNA from 1 species
CCUACGGGAGGCAGCAGUGAGGAAUAUUUGACAAUGGGCGCGAGCCUGAACCAGCCAAGUAGCGUGCAGGAUGACUGCCCUACGGGUUGUAAACUCCUUUUAUAAAGGAAUAAAGUGAGGCACGUGUUCCAUUUUGAAUGUACUUUAUGAAUAAAGAACGGCUAACUCCGUGCCAGCAGCCGCGGUAAUACGGAGGAUCCGAGCGUUAUACGGAUUGAUUGGGUUUAAAGGGAGCGUAGAUGGGUUGUUAAGUCAGUUGUGAAAGUUUGCGGCUCAACCGUAAGAUUUCAAUUGAUACUGGCAGUCUUGAGUACAGUUGAGGUAGGCGGAAUUCGUGGUGUAGCGGUGAAAUGCUUAGAUAUCACGAAGAACUCCGAUUGCGAAGGCAGCUUACUAAACUGCCACUGACAUUGAUGCUCGAAAGUGUGGGUAUCAAACAGGAUUAGAUACCCGUGUAGUC